rnacentral:rRNA from 1 species
AUUGAACGCUGGCGGCAGGCCUAACACAUGCAAGUCGAACGAGCGGCGGACGGGUGAGUAAUGUAUGGGGACUGCCCGAUAGAGGGGGGUAACUACUGGAAACGGUAGCUAAUAACGCAUAUUAUAGGAUUACCCAUAUGUGGUUAGCUAGUAGGUGGGGUAAUGUCUCACCUAGGCGACGAGCCCUAGCUGGUGUGCGAGGAUGAUCAGAUAAACUGGAACUGAGAAACGGCCCAGACUCCUACGGAGGCAGCAGUGGGGAAUAUUGCACAAUGGGCGCAAGCCUGAUGCAGCCAUGCCGCGUGUAUGAAGAAGGCCUUAGGGUUGUAAAGUACUUUCAGGCGGGAGGCGGUACCGACAGAAGAAGCACCGGCUAACUCCGUGCCAGCAGCCGCGGUAAUAC